GUGUGUGUAUGUACAUAUGGAUUUGAAUAAGUGUUCUUGGUCAUUCACUGUUACUAUUUGGAAAGACAUGACGCGUUGAUUUCGCAUAAAAUGGAUAAAUUUGUACAACGGCUUGCAAAAAAUACUAGUAACAGUGAAAUAAAGCGGAUUCCACAGGGAAAGAAACAAAAAACAUAGAAAACGAAAGAUAAUUAUCUUCAACGCCCAAAGCAUAUGAACGUCGUUUCAGGGAAAAUUCGAAGGAAUUAUUUCAUUGGCUGGAUGAACAAAAUGGUAAUGCAUUUUGUGUAUACUGCAGGAAAAUUAUGUUCAAUAUAUAAACACAUAUUCAACGGCAUGAAAAAUCUGCUUUACACCAAAAAAACGUUAGCAGGAAGAAAAACCAAAGCACCAUCGGGCAAUCUCUGCUGCCAGAUGAGCAAGCAAACAUGCUGAAAAAGGUAAGGUACGCUCAACACUCGUUAGUUAUGCUUUGCGCAGUCCACAAUCUACCAAUGUCAGCAAUGGAUGCACUACCUCGAGUUUUAAAAAAUAUUUUUUUCGGAUUCAAGUAUUACAAAAAAUGUGGCC